rnacentral:rRNA from 1 species
UGGGGAAUAUUGGACAAUGGGCGAAAGCCUGAUCCAGCCAUGCCGCGUGUGUGAAGAAGGUCUUCGGAUUGUAAAGCACUUUAAGUUGGGAGGAAGGGCAGUUACCUAAUACGUAUCUGUUUUGACGUUACCGACAGAAUAAGCACCGGCUAACUCUGUGCCAGCAGCCGCGGUAAUACAGAGGGUGCAAGCGUUAAUCGGAAUUACUGGGCGUAAAGCGCGCGUAGGUGGUUUGUUAAGUUGGAUGUGAAAUCCCCGGGCUCAACCUGGGAACUGCAUUCAAAACUGACAAGCUAGAGUAUGGUAGAGGGUGGUGGAAUUUCCGGUGUAGCGGUGAAAUGCGUAGAUAUCGGAAGGAACAUCGGUGGCGAAGGCGUCUACCUGGCCUAAUACUGACACUGAGGCACGAAAGCGUGGGGAGCAAACAGGAUUAGAUACCCCCGUAGUCCCUGAGCGGGCUGGCAAGGCGCAU